rnacentral:rRNA from 1 species
AGGUCUUGCUAUCACUAAGAGAUGGUNNCGCGGUGUAUUAGCUAGUUGGUAAGGUAAUGGCUUANNCAAGGCAAUGAUACAUAGCCGAGUUGAGAGACUGAUCGGCCACAAUGGGACUGAGACACGGCCCAUACUCCUACGGGAGGCAGCAGUAGGGAAUCUUCCACAAUGGACGAAAGUCUGAUGGAGCAACGCCGCGUGUGUGAUGAAGGGUUUCGGCUCGUAAAACACUGUUGUAAGAGAAGAAUGACAUUGAGAGUAACUGUUUCAGUGUGUGACCGGUAUCUUACCAGAAAGGAACGGCUAAAUACGUGCCAGCAGCCGCGGUAAUACGUAUGUUCCAAGCGUUAUCCGGAUUUAUUGGGCGUAAAGCGAGCGCAGACGGUUAUUUAAGUCCGAAGUGAAAGCCCACAGCUUAACUGUGGAAGUGCUUUGGAAACUGGAUAACUUGAGUGCAGU